CGGUUCGGGGCGCUGCCCGUGCCGGGGCGCCGCGCCCGUCCCGCGCCCGCUAGCGUCCCCACGCCCCGCGCCCUGCCGCGCCUCGGGCUCGCUUGCGGCCGCCGGGGCUCGCCUCCAGCGCCAGCGUGGACCCCCCGGCUUUGUGUCUGUAGGUCUCAGCGUGUUUUGUCCCGGUUCAGGCUUCUCUAAAAAACGGCAGGGAGGAACAGGAGGCGGACACCAUCCCCUCGCUCCACCUCCUUGACAGGGGUUUUCCUCCUUCUCCUCCCCUUUCUCCCUCCGGCGCUCCGCAGCUCUCUCCUCCCUUUCCCCUCCCUCUGCGCUCGGGUCUCGGGAUUUCGCUCGGGUGUCACGUUACUGCUUCUGCUGGGGGCGGAGGUGGGGGGGCGGCGAUUAUUCGCAACAAGGAGGAAACUUUCUGGGUGGUGGUGGUGUUGUUUUUUCCUUCCCCUGUUCUUCACAAUCUGGCCGCGGUUUCUGCGCCACCAGCGACCUCUUGGGGGCCCCGCUGACUUCCCUCUCGUAAACAGUCACCGGCAGGAAGAAGCACGACUGACUUUUACAUUUUUUGAAGUUCAGAAACUUGAUUCUCCUUAUAUAUCCCGUGCAAGCUGCUUACACAAGGCCGGCAAAAGGUACUAGGAUACAGGCUCAAGACUGCUGAGAUGGGAAAAGAGUAAGCGGUGCGAGUUAUGUUCAAACACGCCCCAGAGGGCCAGGCUUAGCGCCCAGACCCCCGGGAAGGGGAGCAGAAGAGGACACUCUCUUCUUGCUUUUCCUGGUCCUACAACUACUUCACCUCUUAGUGACCAGAGAGGCAAGUGGGGGGUGCAUAGCGGACUCUAGGAGGUCAUUGCCGUGGUAGACAUGAAGGGGAAAGAGCCCAGUCCCCCUAUACGCCGAUUUCAUUGCUGCCUCUCUUCCCUCCAUGGGGAAGCUUCUGGACCUGAAAGAACCUCCCGAGGCGGAAGAGGCUCCAUCGUAGACACAGAUCCUCUGAUGGGGUGGUUGAUCCACGGAAGGGCUGCUCCAAUCAGCCCCACUUUAUUGCUUGUCUGGUGAAACCCAGGCUCAGUUAAACCCAAUCAUGCAACUGGACUGGAUUGCAGAAAAACACACAGCGCUGGGCGCUGUGUAAGGUUGGCUUGUUGGCAGUGAAAGUGGCAGCAGGAAGAUGAGUCAUCCAGUAAAAUGGCUGGAAUGUGGACGUGGAAGGGGCUCAGCUUCUGUCAUGCACAUGAGGACAGUACUCCAAGGAAUAUCAGAGAAACUGGUGAAAGGAACCUGGGAACCUGAAUGCUCUUAAGAAGCGAGCCAUCUGUCUGCUGUGGAUUGCCUACUGCCAUUUGGACUCCCUUGUGAAGAAAAUAAAGUAAAUUCUCUCUACAAUCACUGUAUUUUGGGGUCUCUAUUUUAACCUCAUAGCCCACACCAUAAAUAAUUCACAUAACAAGAAAGAUGACAGACACUUUGGGAGGCCAAGGUGAGUAGAUCACCUGAGGUCAGGAGUUGGAGACCAGCCUGGCCAACAUGGCAAAAUCCCGUCUCUACU